rnacentral:rRNA from 1 species
GACGAACGCUGGCGGCGUGCUUAACACAUGCAAGUCGAACGGAAAGGCCCUGCUUUUGUGGGGUGCUCGAGUGGCGAACGGGUGAGUAACACGUGAGUAACCUGCCCUUGACUUUGGGAUAACUUCAGGAAACUGGGGCUAAUACCGGAUAGGAGCUCCUGCUGCAUGGUGGGGGUUGGAAAGUUUCGGCGGUUGGGGAUGGACUCGCGGCUUAUCAGCUUGUUGGUGGGGUAGUGGCUUACCAAGGCUUUGACGGGUAGCCGGCCUGAGAGGGUGACCGGCAGAAUUCGGACUGAGAGCCGGCAACGUGACGUGCGGAGGGCAGAAGUGGGAAGUCUUCCACGAUGGGUGGAGGGCUGAGACAGCAAGGCGGGGGGCGGUAGGAGGGCUUUCGGGUUGUCAACCGUGUUAGCCUGGGAAGAAGCGUGAGUGAGGAUAGUGGGUAAAGCAGCACCGUCUAACGACGUGCCAGCAGCCGAAGUAAACAUCGAAAAGCACACUUCUGAAC